GACCAGACUCUACGGGAGGCAGCAGUGGGGAAUAUUGGGCAAUGGGCGCAAGCCUGACCCAGCAACGCCGCGUGAAGGAAGAAGGCUUUCGGGUUGUAAACUUCUUUUAUGAGGGACGAAAGAAAUGACGGUACCUCAUGAAUAAGCCACGGCUAACUACGUGCCAGCAGCCGCGGUAAUACGUAGGUGGCAAGCGUUAUCCGGAUUUACUGGGUGUAAAGGGCGUGUAGGCGGGACUGCAAGUCAGAUGUGAAAUCCCAAGGCUCAACCUUGGAACUGCAUUUGAAACUGUUGGUCUUGAGUAUCAGAGAGGCAGGCGGAAUUCCUAGUGUAGCGGUGGAAUGCGUAGAUAUUAGGAGGAACACCAGUGGCGAAGGCGACUUUCUGGACUGUACCUGACGCUGAGGCGCGAAAGCGUGGGUAGCGAACGGGAUUAGAUACCCGUGUACC
rnacentral:rRNA from 1 species